rnacentral:tRNA from 1 species
GGGCGAAUGGCGGAACUGGCAUACGCGCUGGAUUUAGGAUCCAGUCCCUUCGGGGGUGGGAGUUCAAAUCUCCCUUCGCCCA